UCUUCUUUCUGUUUUUAUUCCAGAAUCCCUUCCAUCUGUCAUUGCUUUUUCUCUUUUCUUCUUGUGAUGUUGUAAGCACAAAAAUGUUUGGGUUUGGGUUGAUGAAAGCAUAGAUCAGUAUAAGCCUCAUGCUGCGUGGAUCAACUUGAAUGCUUGGGUUGAUGAAAGCAUAGAUCAGAGGAUCAGGCUUGCCAAAGGCCUGUUGGGACGUGUGGAUUUCUCACAAACUCCAAUGUGGGACCCACCCACCAUCCCUGAGCAGGAACUUCCUGCGAGAGUCUUUAGCAGGAAAUCUGCGUCCGUUUCCUGUAAUAAUAAUGUGGGCCCUCAUAAUGUUGUAUUGGAUGAAUCCCAUCACUUCAGUCCAAAUCCCACGACGCCUAACCGAUAUUUACUGGAAAACCUUCAAUUCAGGUAGGCUGGUCCAUAUAUUGAACUGAAGCCAGCCCCACAUGCAGGCUUUGCAUUUUCAAAGUUUUGGGUUUGCAUUGCCUAGGCCCCAUGUGGUCUCUACAUGUGUGCCUGAGUUCCAGGCAAAAUAGUUGAUUGGGGAUGGCCUCAAUGGCCUUAUUUAACAAAGUGGGCUAUGUAUUUGGUUACUGGGCCUAUCCAAAUCUCGAUUCCAUAGCUCAUUGAUUAAGAUUGAAAACUAGGUUAGGUUGGCUUGUGCUGGGACCCCGAUCCCAAACCAACUAACCCAACUCAAGUUGACUGAGGGCAUUGACAGAGAAUUAAAUAUCCCCACCUUGGAAGAAUCAGGUUAGGCAAGUGGGAUUGGGUUGAGCCUGGCCCAAGUUGAAGCCUUAGUCAUGGUUUGGGCUGAAGUCAGUAGCUUAUGCCUUUCGCUCAGUCACUGCACCUAUAAUUUUAAUAAAAGAAAAAUCCAUAUAAAUUAGAGAAACCAUCUUCAUGCCGAGAUCGGACAAUGCCUUAAUGAAUGCAUUGCCAUACAAAUGAAAGAAUUCUGUCACUGAGAGAACCCUGCUAAUACUGUUCAGGGAAUUCUUACCACCACAAACCUCCACACACCUUUCGUAGCUCAAAGACUGCUCAAAUCGAGCAUAAAUAUUCUCGUGAAGACUUAGAAUAGAUUUCUAAGGCUACCAUACAUAGAUUGAAUGUGCAGAUAGAAACUAGCUCAGGAACAACCUUAGAGAUGGUGAUGAUUCAAGAAAGGGUUGCAAGAUUGUUCUUUUGACACAGGUUGUUGCCCCUGUUUGGGUAACUUGUGCUCAAGCACUAGGUGCCACACUUAAGUACAUGCAUCCUUCAGUAGUUCAUGAAACACUGAAUAUCUUACUACAGAUGCAGUGUAGACAAGAAUGGGAAAUUCGUCAUGAACCCUUUUGGGGAUCAAAUAUUUGGUUGCUGUUCGAAGGGUAUGGUGCUUCAUAUAUUCUACGUACCUUAUUCUUUUAUUUUACUAUGGAGUAGUGUUUCCCGUGCAUGUUUGACAAUUGUUAUGGUCGGUACUUGGUAAAUCUGCAGACAUCAACUCUAGGUGUAUGGUGUUGCAAGCAUGACAAUUAGGUGCUGGUAAAAAAAAAUUGUUAGGGCCUCUCCUGCUAUUCACAUGUCAUGUAACCUUCUUUUGGUUAUGUAACUUGAACCGGACUCGGACUCGUUGAAAAGAGGAUAGCAAGAUCAAGGCCUUAGUUGAUACGCCUGCUCUGGAUUGGCCAUGGCAAAAUCAGGAAGCAUUUGGCCCUGGAAGAGGUUUUGGAAGGGGUGGGAUGGGUGGUAGGAUGAUGGCGGGACGUGGCUUUGAUAAUUCUCUUCCAUAGUUUUAGAACAUCAUGACACGCAAUGGGAUUUUGAUGAAGCCUUGUUAUGAGAUCUGGACUGUUCAUCUAUUGUCCCUGCCUUGAAUGUGCCAUACUUCAAAAAUCAGAUGUUCCUAGCCUCUGAUCAAGAGACAUAAUUCCUAUCUAAUGUUGACAUUUGGCUGGAGGUGUAAUUCUCAGAAGCAUCCAAUCAGUGGCUUGGAUCACCCAAACAGUGUGAUUUUCAGGCUGUGCCCCAUAUGUCAUAGGGUCCAAUAAUGCAAGGCACGAUUGUUCCAAUGCUUGAAGUUGUGAUGGCUGUUGUCCCUGUUGAGAAGCUUGUUGUACAUUUCCAUGACACAUGGGCAAUCUCUUUCAAGUAUUCUCAUCUCCCUCCAAGCAAAACUUGAAUAAAUUUGUUGUACUAAGCCCAUCCCUUUCCUCUUUGGUCGGGUGAUCCCCACAAUGAUAAAUGUACAUGUCAAAAAUCAGCCUGAUAAAAAACUCAGGUGGGCCACAUGAAGUGAAUUUAUAAAUUUUAGUCCUGAUUUUACAUUGUUCACAAGGUGGGACUCACCUAAGAUUUUGAUCUAUAUGAUUUUUGUCAUGUACGAUGGACAAAGGAGAGAUGUUAAUUACAAAUACUUCACUGUGGGUUCCAUAGAGAUUGGGUGUUCUUGAUGCAUAUAUUUUUAGUUUGGACUGCUAGACAUUUUUGUAACCACCCAUUUUUGUACUGUAUCAUGAAUGAUGGGACACACCUAAUGAACAGCCCAAAUCUUGCACAGAAGUGGACAGCUUGUUUUAGGACUGUUUGUUUUGGCCCAUCAUAUGCCCUUUCAAGGCUCGUCCUAGCCCAUUGACAGCCAUAACGAUGACAAUGACAAGGACAACGACAAUGAUCAUUAUGAUGAUCUCUGUACGUAUUAAUUGUUCACCCACAA